rnacentral:rRNA from 1 species
GACAGCAGUCGCCGCGGGAAUACGGAGGGUGCAAGCGUUAAUCGGAAUUACUGGGCGUAAAGCGCACGCAGGCGGUCUGACAAGUCAGAUGUGAAAUCCCCGGGCUUAACCUGGGAACUGCAUUUGAAACUGUCAGGCUGGAGUCUUGUAGAGGGGGGUGGAAUUCCAGGUGUAGCGGUGAAAUGCGUAGAGAUCUGGAGGAAUACCGGUGGCGAAGGCGGCCCCCUGGACAAAGACUGACGCUCAGGUGCGAAAGCGUGGGGAGCAAACAGGAUUAGAUACCCGUGUAGUCCCUGUCUCUUAUAC